UAGGGAAUCUUCCGCAAUGGGCGAAAGCUUGACGGAGCAACGCCGCGUGAGUGAUGAAGGUCUUCGGAUCGUAAAACUCUGUUAUUAGGGAAGAACAAAUGUGUAAGUAACUAUGCACGUCUUGACGGUACCUAAUCAGAAAGCCACGGCUAACUACGUGCCAGCAGCCGCGGUAAUACGUAGGUGGCAAGCGUUAUCCGGAAUUAUUGGGCGUAAAGCGCGCGUAGGCGGUUUUUUAAGUCUGAUGUGAAAGCCCACGGCUCAACCGUGGAGGGUCAUUAGAAACUGGAAAACUUGAGUGCAGAAGAGGAAAGUGGAAUUCCAUGUGUAGCGGUGAAAUGCGCAGAGAUAUGGAGGAACACCAGUGGCGAAGGCGACUUUCUAGUCUGUAACUGACGCUGAUGUGCGAAAGCGGGGGGAUCAAACAGG
rnacentral:rRNA from 1 species